GAUGAUCGCUGGCGGCGUGCCUAAUACAUGCAAGUCGAGCGAGCAGAUGAGGAGCUUGCUCCUCUGACGUUAGCGGCGGACGGGUGAGUAACACGUGGAUAACCUACCUAUAAGACUGGGAUAACUACGGGAAACCGGAGCUAAUACCGGAUAAUAUAUUGAACCGCAUGGUUCAAUAGUGAAAGACGGUUUUGCUGUCACUUAUAGAUGGAUCCGCGCCGCAUUAGCUAGUUGGUAAGGUAACGGCUUACCAAGGCAACGAUGCGUAGCCGACCUGAGAGGGUGAUCGGCCACACUGGAACUGAGACACGGUCCAGACUCCUACGGGAGGCAGCAGUAGGGAAUCUUCCGCAAUGGGCGAAAGCCUGACGGAGCAACGCCGCGUGAGUGAUGAAGGUCUUCGGAUCGUAAAACUCUGUUAUUAGGGAAGAACAAAUGUGUAAGUAACUAUGCACGUCUUGACGGUACCUAAUCAGAAAGCCACGGCUAACUACGUG
rnacentral:rRNA from 1 species